CCAGCCGUGUGGUGCCGUACGGAUUCGGCCCGGUGCGUCUCCGAAGGGAGCUUCGCCGCUGCCUGUGCACAGACGCUCAGGACACGGAGUGCUGGACCUUCUGCUCAUCUCAGAGAGACGGAGGAGCUGACAUCAAGAAGAAGAGCGACAAACUCAAAGGAUACAGAGCUGCAUUCUGGGAAAAAAGGAGCAGACAUGCCCUCAAAGCCCAGACCUGAGGAAGAGGAGCAUCCGACAUGGGGAAUGGAUGCAUCCGAAACUCCAGAUAUUGGACCUGUGGUUUGGUCAUGCACAGCUUAUGUAAAUGUGAUGAUGACAUGAAGUGCUAGAAGCUUUUUUAACUCACAGCAGAUGUUUUAUUCUUAGUUCCUCCAAGAGUUGGAUCUUGUUGAUUUGUGACUUUGAGGGACACCACACCAAGCUCAUAAAGGCCGCUGCAGCCCCCAAAACCUCACGGUGGUUUGGACUUUAUGUUUUGAAGUAAAAUCCAGGCCACCCUCAGGAUCUGCUCUGGGUCUUUUAUGAUGCUGGUGGGAAGGAGCAGACCUCAAUGGCUUCCAGCAUCAAUACGGGGCAGCAUAAGGGACAAACUUCAAACUGACAACAACCUGGUGGAGGUUCAUGUUAAAACUAACGGAUUCCCCCAUCGACCCGUUAACUUUAGCGUAUUAUAGCUGACAGAUUUAAUUAAAACAAAAAACUUCAAAGCAGUUUUAAGUCAAACGUUUAUGACAAAAAUGUCAUUUUACAAGGCUAAAGUUGUUUCAUUGGAAAACGAUGUGUCUGUUGGUCAACAUAAUAUAUUUUAACCUCCAUAAACACGUGAAAUGUUUUUGUAAAAUAAGUUUUACUCUUGACAUGUUACCCUUUUAUAUAAAACUAAAGACAUUAAACAAAAGGUUUAACUUAAAAAAAUAUGUCCCUUAAAAAGCUUUUUUAAGCUAUAAAAUGUAUAUUUUCCCUUUGAACUUGUAUCUCUUCAGGACCCUAAAUGACUAAAAGAUAAGGUUUUUAUUCAGAGAUCUUUGCAUAAAUUGAAUGAAGACUAAAAAGACUGUAGGGUAAAUUUUAUUGGAGUAAAAUGAAACUUUAAAAUUUUACACGAAUUCAAAACUAAAUUGAGAAAAAAAGAUAUUUAUUAAAUAUCAUUAAAUUAAAUUGUAUUAUUUUCCCAGGUGAGGCACUUUUUGGCUUCUCAGAUCUCCUACCUUUGAAAAACCGAAUGUUUCUUUCAUGACCAAAAAAAAAAGACUUGAUGUCCACUCACCAAAACGGUUGACUGUGACUACUGCCAAUUUCCCAAAAUGUUCACAGUCCAUGAACAUUUCCUCUCAUGAGUCACAGACAUUUCCUUUGGUUUAGUAGGAUUUUAGAACAUGUUCAAAACAAUAACAGACACAUGCUCUGCUUAAACAGCCACAGAGUCUCAAAAUUGUCUCAAGCAUAUCUCAAAAACAUUUAAAAUGCAUUUAAAACAAGUCAAACACAUUUUAAACUCGUCUCAAACAAGUCCCAAACACAUCUCAAACAUAUUUGAAACACAUUUUAAACUCAUUUCAAACACAUCUCAAACACAUCUUAAAGCCGUUUCAAACACAUCUCAAACACGUCUCGAACACAUCUCAAACACGUUUUAAACAUGUCUCAAAUACUUCUCAAACAUAUUUUGAAAACGUCUAAAAUGUGUUUUUAACUAAUUUCAAAUACAUGUCAAACACAUUUCGAACACGUCUCAAAUAUGUCUCAAAUAUGUCUCAAACACAUCUUAAACAUGUCUCAAACACUUCUCAAACAUAUAUCAAAAACAUCUCAAACAUAUUUUAAAUUAAUUUCAAACAUUUUUUAACUCAUUUCAAACACAUCUCAAACAUGUCUCAAACGUGUCUCAGACAUGGCAGCAGACUUGACCCAAUAGUUUAGAAAAUAAAGUGUUAAUAUUUUAACCAAACAAAAAGCCGAUUUAAAGUUGUUGUUUUUUGUCUGCUUUAGUCUUAUAUUGAGGCUGACUUUGAAAUAAGCUGUAAAUAAAAAUUAAAGUUCAAAUGGAAAACUUGUCCAACCGACUGUACGAUGAUGACAUUUGAGUUGUGAGGUUUUCCUGUCAUUUACCAGAGUUUGGUGGUGUGAAUGUAAACAGGAUCUUUCUGUCUGUGAAGAGAACACGUCUCUCUGCAGGAUCUCUCUCUGUAUUUGCUUUAGGAUGCAUGUGACGACACACAGUAACCACAUUGCUGUCUGUAUUUAAACCUGUUUGCACCUUCAUUUCCUUCUCCAACGUGCACCUCUGACCAAAAGAUGCACACUGAUGUGGAACUGUAAAAAUAAAGUAUUUAUUUUAUUCCUCUACUGCACAUAUAAAGUGUAACCUAAAGUGAUAUUUAAAUAGAUGAAGCUUGACUA